rnacentral:rRNA from 1 species
GAUGAACGCUGGCGGCGUGCCUAACACAUGCAAGUCAAGCGAUUCCCUUCGGAGAAGAGCGGCGGACGGGUGAGUAACGCGUGGGUAACCUGCCCUGUACACACGGAUAACAUACCGAAAGGUAUGCUAAUACGAGAUAAUAUACUUUUAUCGCAUGGUAGAAGUAUCAAAGCUUUUGCGGUACAGGAUGGACCCGCGUCUGAUUAGCUAGUUGGUAAGGUAACGGCUUACCAAGGCGACGAUCAGUAGCCGACCUGAGAGGGUGAUCGGCCACAUUGGAACUGAGACACGGUCCAAACUCCUACGGGAGGCAGCAGUGGGGAAUAUUGCACAAUGGGCGAAAGCCUGAUGCAGCAACGCCGCGUGAGCGAUGAAGGCCUUCGGGUCGUAAAGCUCUGUCCUCAAGGAAGAUAAUGACGGUACUUGAGGAGGAAGCCCCGGCUAACUACGUGCCAGCCGCCGCGGUAA